rnacentral:siRNA from 1 species
AGAAGUAUCAUAUCAUGCCAGAUA